rnacentral:sRNA from 1 species
CGCGGCGCUGUCUGUGUUUGUAGGUACCUGAAGGAGUUCAGGACGGAGCAGUGCCCCCUGUUUUCACAGCACAAGUGCGCUCAGCACCGGCCGUUCACCUGCUUCCACUGGCACUUCCUCAACCAGCGGCGCCGCAGGCCCCUCCGCAGGCGCGACGGCACCUUCAACUACAGCCCCGACGUGUACUGCUCCAAGUACAACGAAGCCACCGGCGUGUGCCCCGACGGCGACGAGUGUCCCUACCUGCACCGGACGACGGGGGACACAGAACGCAAGUACCACCUGCGUUACUACAAGACAGGAACCUGCAUCCACGAGACAGACGCACGUGGCCACUGCGUGAAGAAUGGGCUGCACUGUGCCUUUGCAC